CCUACGGGGGGCAGCAGUGAGGAAUAUUGGUCAAUGGGCUUACGCCUGAACCAGCCAAGUCGCGUGAGGGAAGACUGCCCUAUGGGUUGUAAACCUCUUUUGUCAGGGAGCAAUUGGCGCUACGCGUAGCGUUAUCGAGAGUACCUGCAGAAAAAGCAUCGGCUAACUCCGUGCCAGCAGCCGCGGUAAUACGGAGGAUGCGAGCGUUAUCCGGAUUUAUUGGGUUUAAAGGGUGCGUAGGCGGAUUGUUAAGUCAGCGGUAAAAUGGCGGGGCUCAACCCCGGCCGGCCGUUGAAACUGGCGAU
rnacentral:rRNA from 1 species